rnacentral:rRNA from 1 species
UGGGGAAUAUUGGACAAUGGGCGAAAGCCUGAUCCAGCAAUGCCGCGUGAGUGAUGAAGGCCUUAGGGUUGUAAAGCUCUUUUACCCGGGAUGAUAAUGACAGUACCGGGAGAAUAAGCUCCGGCUAACUCCGUGCCAGCAGCCGCGGUAAUACGGAGGGAGCUAGCGUUGUUCGGAAUUACUGGGCGUAAAGCGCACGUAGGCGGCUAUUCAAGUCGGGGGUGAAAGCCCGGGGCUCAACCCCGGAACUGCCCUCGAAACUAGGUAGCUAGAAUCUUGGAGAGGCGAGUGGAAUUCCGAGUGUAGAGGUGAAAUUCGUAGAUAUUCGGAAGAACACCAGUGGCGAAGGCGACUCGCUGGACAAGUAUUGACGCUGAGGCACGAAAGCGUGGGGAUCAAAC